AGCAGCAUGGCGCAGAUGGAAGCGCGCGGGGCCCAUAUUUACGUAAUCAGGAACCCCGAGGUCACUCGAUCGAAACGAGUUGCUGCUA